CUCUUUGGUUAUCUAGCUGUAUGAGUGAUGUCAAUGCAUCAUAAAGCUAGGUUACCAAAGAU
rnacentral:pre_miRNA from 15 species